UACGUAGGGUGCAAGCGUUGUCCGGAAUUAUUGGGCGUAAAGAGCUCGUAGGCGGUCUGUCGCGUCGGAUGUGAAAAAUCAGGGCUCAACCCUGGACCUGCAUUCGAUACGGGGCAGACUAGAGUUCGGCAGGGGAGACUGGAAUUCCUGGUGUAGCGGUGAAAAUGCGCAGAUAUCAGGAGGAACACCGGUGGCGAAGGCGGUUCUCUGGGGCAUGU
rnacentral:rRNA from 1 species